CAUCUUACGUGUCAACCCAGGGAUGCAUAUAUCCAAAAUAAGAAGGGUCAAAGCUAAGAAGCAUUCUUCCCAGCUUGAUUGAAUCUAUAUGAAGUAAAAUUAGCGGUCAAUUGGCUUCCAAAAGAUUCAAAUUUUGAAUCCCAUCCAUUUCUUCAAACAAGCAAACGGUGAGAUCACUUUUAGGGUUUCUUGCUUCAUCUCCUCUUUCCAUUGCCAUUUCCUUUUUCCCAUUGCCGAUGCUUAUCUUAUCUUUUUACUUCUCUGAAAAUUGAAGCCGUCUGCAAAGAGAGUAGCUGAGAGAUAGAGAGGGAAUCCAAAAGGGAGAGAACGACAAAGAGAGAGAGAGAGAGAAAUGCGAUGGUUCUAAUGAACGGAUCUACUUUGUAUGCCUGAAAAUCGGUGACCCUUGGUGGCAACAGUGAUGCAGAAACUAUCGUAGCAGAUGGAAUCAAGACCAAAUGGCAACGGUUUUGGGUUUCUAGGGUUCUGUCCGUGCCGACGCCAUAGAAGAGUCCGAUAAUUACAAAGAAAUCGAAGGAGAGAGGUUGUAUGGCUAAAGAGCGGAUUAGCAAAUUGCCACUCUGUGACGUCGAAAAACACAGUUCUAUUCAUCAUGACCUUACUAGCCAUAGGCACAACUUCAAAUCAAGUUCUAAAUCCAAUAUCUUAUGACAUGUCAGCAUACCAAGUGGACUCCUCAGGUCCUCCUUGCUUUGUGGGACCCAUGCAAUCGCCGGACUCGGCUUAUUUAUCUUCACAAAUCGUAUGUCAAUAUCUUGAUUCUCGAUGGAGGAAGACGGCGUAAACAAUGCUUAUUGUUUUGUGAGAUAAACUCAAUAAAAGCCGAAUCUAUUGCUAAAGGUAAAGUUAUCAUUAGGGUAAUUGUGUAAACAAAUGGUUAUGAUUUAUGAGGACAUCAACAAAAUAGAAGCUGACUCUAUUGUCGCCGGAUAAAUUGAUUUAUAUGCAACCAUUAAUCUAAUUUGACGUUUUUUGUCCUUCUUUUUACUUCGCGCGCUGGUAAAGUUAUCAUAAGAUACAUUAUUUAGUCAUAGAAAAUCAUCUCCACUAUUGUAAAAGUAUGAAUAUUAAGUAUUAUUAACAAUCAUGUAUUAUAAAAAAACUUGGAACAUUACCAAUCUUGCUUAACUAUACUACAGUAUAGUAUUGGUUACUGGUUAUUGUUUAACAUGUACCUUUAACGUUAAUAAUUUUUACCCUUUUUGGUUGGGAUUGUUUGUUGUCGCCGAUAUGAUCAAUGUAGGAAUUCGCAGAUGAUCUGACUACAAAUAAACCAUUGGAAGCGUUUUUCAGGUUAGUUAAAGAGUUGUUGUCAAGAAGGCAAAAUCAUAAGUAGGCGACGUUGAAUAUCAACAAAAAUCUAUUGUAAUUAUACAUGUAGUGGCCGUAAUAUUUUGUAAUAGGUACAAAAUUCCCAAGGCAUGCGCGACGUGAAAAGUUUGUAACACACAUCCGUUAUAUUUUUUUAAUGAUUCA